GCGCAAGUGGUUUAGUGGUAAAAUCCAUCGUUGCCAUCGAUGGGCCCCCGGUUCGAUUCCGGGAUUGCGCA
rnacentral:tRNA from 1 species